AUGCAUGCAAAGCAGGCACUCUCCUACUGCUCCACAGCCCUUUCCCGCAAAAGAUCCCUGUUUCUGAGGCAGACUCAGAGGCUCCCUUUACAUAACCGCCUCACCACCUGGCAGCUCCGCACACCUUCGCCAGGAGGAUGCGAGAAGUGGAGCGCGGUGGGGGUGGGCUUAUCCACACCCAGCGCCCUCAACGCCCCCCCCCCGCGCGCGCGGACUCGAGAGACAGUUUCUUCUGCCACGAGGAAGGAGAGGCGUGAGCUCCUGUCCCUUCCAGGAAGAAAGGUGAAGCAACCGCUUCAGGUGGCAGGAUCCACAGUGGAAGCAACCCCCACCCCCACGCGCUUCCUGAUGUACAUCUUCACUCAUCCCUCCUUCUAUGGCAGCAAGGCGUGGGGUGCCAUUUUGUGGUUCACCUCAGCCACCAAAAUGUUUUGGGCCGGCCUGGAUUAAAUCUAUAAUAUUGCAAAAGCCUCCUUGUUGGACGAGCUUUUUCUCAAGCCGGCUUGCAUCUGAUUUGAAAACCUAAGCCAUGUGCAUCUGAGACAGCUGUUGCACAUGCACAGAUGGUUGCUUCGUUGGAGUUUGGGGCAGAGGGGUGUUGUAGGUGAAAGGUGGGAAAUGGAGUAAUGCACAUCAGGUGAGGACAUCUCUGCCCCUUUGGUGUGUGCAGCAACUUCUGAAUGCAACAUCAAACACAGCAGGGAGGAAAUAGCUUAGCUGCAUUUUAAGCCAUGCAUAUGUACAUAGCCCUAAAACACAUCUUGUGCCUCCACCCCUGGCCACCUUUGCACCUGCCGCUGGUUGGUGGAUCAUUCAAUCAAUAAAUAAAAUAGGUUUUAAUGAUAAAAUAGACCCUGUAAGCAUGACUGUAGUCAGGUUUUAUGUUGGGGUGGACAGAACCUCAGCUAAAUAUUUUUAUUGAUUUAGGGGGGGCAGCUAUGCCAAUGCUUGUAGGUAGGGCUGCCCUGCUCCUCCGGGUCUAAUUAACACAUAGGUGCUUUCAGCAUUCUAGCCAUGCUUGCCUUCAUAGGCAUUGUUAUGAGAUGGCCCAGGAGACAGCCCCAGGUCUUUGUCACCUAGGGUCUUGGGCCCUGGAUCUCCUGUUCUGUUCCCUACUUUUUUCUACAUGUAAAACCAACUUGAUUUGCUAUCAUGCUAUUUAAUGUUGGUGAGCAGUAAAUGGAUCAAGGUCUACAAGCAGAUCAGGGGUGAUAUGUGGCAAGAGUUUCUUACUCUCAAUGGUUUAACAAUGCAGCAAAAACCAAUUCUCUUGACUGCUGAAAUAAAGCAAGCUUUGGAGACAAAACCAGGCAUGGACUUUUGUGUGGAGUUCAGGUUCUCAAAAUAAAUUCAUGGGUUAAGCAUGCAGUCAGAAGCAUCCUGUACCUUUAAGUGUGUGUUAUCCCACCCCACCCACUAUUUUGCACCUGGUUGAAGUUGGUGGACUUCCAGGGUUUAGUAAAAACCACAGUAGAUCCUAGAAGCCUGAAAUCUGCCUGCCCAGCUAGUUGCCAAAAAUAGGAUAGCUAAAAAAAAUGUUGGGCAAGAGUUUCUGCAACAUUCCUGUAUGUAGAGGAAGCCCAGUGCUAAUGAGGGGAUUUGUGGGCUCUAGAACAAACAUGCCAGUUCCCAAUUCAGGGUGAAAUCCUUAUUAAAUUAAUGCUUAUUAAAUAAACCAUGCUCCCCACCCUACACACAGCCUGGGUCCUUGUCACAAUUACCACAUUUGCACAUAACACUAAGACAUACCAUAGCAAAUGCACAGACUUCCAAAGAGAAAAUUGUAGCUGCUUUGCUUCUUGCUGGUCCUUUUAGCUCAGCAUGGUGCAACACCUAAGCCAAGUGUCAUUUGAACCCAGCAUCUUGUUUCAGCUCUCUCCUCCUUAACCACAGUCUGCAGCCUGGGUUUGUUCCCAUGCCUGUGGAAUGAAACAGAUGUACCAGGGAGAACUGUUCCCUUUUCCUGUCCAGCUAUGAACAUUCUAAAAUAUUCCAAAGAUUCUGUGUGCUGUCUUCUGGCAGCCUAAUUGCAAUACACCAAGGGAAAUAUGUUUGAUGCUUUAAAUCGGCCCUGUGCCUUUAGGGAUAAGACAGCUUAAAAUAUAAUAAUGUGUCAAACCCAUUGAAAAGGGCUUUUUUCUUACAGAAGAGAUGAAAAUGUGUCUCUCGUAUGAGGUAGGAGCAAACUCUUUUAUUAUACAGUGGUACCUUGGGUUAAGAACUUAAUUCGUUCUGGAGGUCUGUUCUUAACCUGAAACUGUUCUUAACCUGAGGUACCACUUCAGCUAAUGGGGCCUCCCGCUGCCACCGCGUGAUUUCUGUUCUCAUCCUGAAGCAAAGUUCUUAACCCAAGGUACUAUUUCUGGGUUAGUGGAGUCUAACCUGAAGCGUAUGUAACCCGAGGUACCACUGUACAUUCCCAACUGAUCAAGGGUGGUAGUCAACUAAGCUUUACUCAGAGUAGACCCACUGGAAUUAAUGAAUGUAACUAACUUUAGUCCAGUAAUUUCAGUGACUAUACCUUUGUUGAACACAACUGUGGGAAGAAGACUAGUAGGACUGCUUUUGUGUUAACAGCAACUUAACUUUCAAAAGCCACCAGAUCAAACUUCCAUAGGACAACACUGAGUAUUGCCCAGAAGUUAAUAAUGCAGAUUAAGCUGCAGUUGAACACACAGGGCCAGAGGCAUGCCAUUUUAGUGUCAACCACACAACGUUUGAGGAGGGGAAUUUUUCUGACUUUCUCCUUAAGCCCACUAGCAGUGCAGUUUCAUUCUGUAGCUUAAUUUUUUAGAAAGUAGUAGAAUUGUGGAACCAUAGAAUUGUAGAGCUGAAAGAGGCCUCAGGAGUCACCUAGUCCGUAGCGCAAUAAUCUUUUCCUCAACGUGGGGCUCAAACCCACAAGCCUGAGAUGAUCUGCUGAUGGAGCUAUCCCAGAAGGGUAGAUCUCAGUGAUGCAUAGUAGAUUACUCAAUGUGUAUAUAGAUGUAAAAAAGAAAAGAAAAAGGUAUUCCCAA
ensembl:lncRNA